CAUGGAGAAAGCUGACUUGGCUGGUGUGGUGCAGAGAAGCCAGCUUGUUUAUGUGCUUAUUCCAUG
rfam:Chlorocebus sabaeus isolate 1994-021 chromosome 2, whole genome shotgun sequence.